rnacentral:rRNA from 1 species
CCUACGGGGGGCAGCAGUGAGGAAUAUUGGUCAAUGGACGAGAGUCUGAACCAGCCAAGUAGCGUGAAGGAUGACUGCCCUAUGGGUUGUAAACUUCUUUUAUAAAGGAAUAAAACGAGGCACGUGUGCCUUUUUGCAUGUACUUUAUGAAUAAGGAUCGGCUAACUCCGUGCCAGCAGCCGCGGUAAUACGGAGGAUCCGAGCGUUAUCCGGAUUUAUUGGGUUUAAAGGGAGCGUAGAUGGGUUGUUAAGUCAGUUGUGAAAGUUUGCGGCUCAACCGUAAAAUUGCAAUUGAUACUGGAAGUCUUGAGGACAGUUGAGGUAGGCGGAAUUCGUGGUGUAGCGGUGAAAUGCUUAGAUAUCACGAAGAACCCCGAUUGCGAAGGCAGCUUACUAAACUGUGACUGACAUUGAUGCUCGAAAGUGUGGGUAUCAAACAGGAUUAGAUACCCGUGUAGUC